AUGAAAACAAAACUGGAAAGUAUAUUGUCUUCCACAUGGAGAAAAGACAAAACAGAAAAAGAUAGAAGGGGACAUCUGACUUGCUUCUUUGGUAUUUCAACAACAGGUCUAAAGGGCUACAGUCGAAGAAACAGCCAUUCAUUUUUAGGCCAAACAACUUGGCGAUUAGGCAUCAUAAUGUUGAAUGGAAAAGUACCUGAAAUGUGAGGAGAAGAAACAAUAACGAGACUUAUAAUAAAAGCAGAUAAUCCUCUCCGUGUUCCAUCAGGUAGUAUUACAGUUACCGGGGUGUCUAUUGUCUUUGACGAUGUCAGAUGUCAAAACGCUAGCGAUCAGGAAAGAACAUCUAAGAUUACGGCCUCUCUUUUUUCACCUCUUUUUGUUGUGCAGCUGCUGUUGCUGCUAGUGGACUGGAGCCUGCAGAGACCGGUGUGAUUCCCCAUGCAGGGAUCAGGGCUGCUCACAGGGCCUGUGGCUCACUUCAAACACAGGCCAGCAGGCCAAAAAAACUCCCCCCGAGCACAAGUCUGCUGCUCAUCCACAUCUCUCUAUCACUCUCCUCUUUCUCUCUGGGGACAAACAAGUGAUGUAUGUUCUGAGGAAACGUGAGAGAAAUUUGCUGUUUUGUGUGUGUGUGAGACAACUGAGUGUUUAUCUCUAAGCCGGCCUGUGGCAGGAAGCAUACACUCCUUACAGCUGGAGGACACUUUCAGUGUUUAUUCAGUCAAACUGCACUGAACUGCAUGGCUACUCAUUACGAUGAUAUUAUGGAAAUUAACAGCGUUACUUCCACACAAGGAUGUAAAAAUGUUCAAGGUGAAAACCCCAUAUUGAUCAAACAAUAUUGGGAGAUAGGGAAUCAAAAUUCCACUGAUUCCACUACAUUUCAUCUCAACAGUAUUAGGCUAUGUUGACAAAUGUGAAGUGUAUUAAUUAUUAUUAUUAUUAUUAUUUUUUUUUUUGCAGUAUAUAUAGUAAAAAAACUAACCAAAUAAAGGUUCCAAAAAAAGGUAACAAGGGAAUAGAACCAUUUUGGAACAUUUCAGUAAACAGGUCAUAAAAUAACUUUUUUUUGUUAAUCUGAAGAAUGUUUUUUUACCAUAAGGAACUUUUGUGCAAUGUAAAGAUUCAAUUAAUUUUAAAGGUUCUUCAUGGAACCACUGAUACCAAUAUAGAACUAUGAUUUUUAAGUGUGCAGUCAUUCAUUUUCAGAGAUGUUUGGUGCUUUCAUCUUUACAUGGUUACUUUAAUCCAUUUUCUUCUAUGUGAACUCUUUUGUCUCUGUCUUUUUAUUUUUACUCUAUCUGACAAUUAAAAACAGGGAAAGGUGACCACUGACCCCAGAGGGAUUUCUAACCUGAAUCAGGUUUAGGCAGGCAGAAAUCUCUUCAGCAUGCAUGAAGAUCAGGCAGCCUAGGCAGCUAUGGGAGGUCUUGCCCGCAAAUCCUUCUUUUCGGAUCUCCUCACCCAGAUGAAAGGGCAACGCCACUAAGGAUUAUACAACACAAUUACGCAUUCUCUGUUGUGCUGACAAAGAGGGGGAAAUCGGCUUUCUAAAAGGCUGAAUCUUUUCCAAUUAAGCACAUUUUCUGACAUUCUGUAAUGGCCAGGUUGAUGCUCUUUAACACUGACACAUCUAACCUCCAUCUCACCCCACUAUACACUCACACCCACCUACAGUGCCUUUGAAGUGUGUGCUUCCUUCUUUAAAAAGCCAAAUUGUUUUUGUUAACGACUGAGAAUUGCUCUGACAACUAACUUGUGAUGAUGAAAAAUGGUCAAUUUUCUCAAGAAGCCUGACAAGGAUGACUUUCAACGCUCAAUUCAGAACAGCUAGUAUCAAAUUAGUAUCACUUCUUCCUUUCUUGUCAGCCAGCUAACCUAAACGGCAAUCGCUUUAUUUCACCUUCAAUAUGUAGAAGGGACAGG
ensembl:lncRNA